AUUGAACGCUGGCGGCAUGCCUAACACAUGCAAGUCGAACGAGUGGCGGACGGGUGAGUAGUGUCUGGGAAACUGCCUGCUGGAGGGGUCUACCUCCUGGCAACGGUAGCUACUAACUCCUACCAUCGGAUGUGCCCCGAUGGGAUUAGCUAGUAGGUGGGGUCACGGCUCACCUAGGCGACGAUCCCUAGCUGGUCUGAGAGGAUGACAAGCAACACUGGAACAGUGGCACGGACCAGACUCCUACGGUAGGCAGCAGUGGGGAAUAUUGCACAAUGGGCGCAAGCCUGAUGCCGCCAUGCCGCGUGUAUGAAGAAGGCCUUAGGGUUGUAAAGUACUUUAAGCGGGGAGGCGUUACCCGCAGAAGAAGCACCGGCUAACUCCGUGCCAGCAGCCGCGGUAAUAC
rnacentral:rRNA from 1 species